ACUCCUACGGGAGGCAGCAGUGGGGAAUAUUGGACAAUGGGCGAAAGCCUGAUCCAGCCAUGCCGCGUGUGUGAAGAAGGUCUUCGGAUUGUAAAGCACUUUAAGUUGGGAGGAAGGGCAGUAAAUUAAUACUUUGCUGUUUUGUACGUUACCGACAGAAUAAGCACCGGCUAACUCUGUGCCAGCAGCCGCGGUAAUACAGAGGGUGCAAGCGUUAAUCGGAAUUACUGGGCGUAAAGCGCGCGUAGGUGGUUCGUUAAGUUGGAUGUGAAAUCCCCGGGGCUCAACCUGGGAACUGCAUUCAAAACUGUCGAGCUAGAGUAUGGUAGAGGGUGGUGGAAUUUCCUGUGUAGCGGUGAAAUGCGUAGAUAUAGGAAGGAACACCAGUGGCGAAGGCGACCACCUGGACUAAUACUGACACUGAGGUGCGAAAGCGUGGGGAGCAAACAGGAUUAGAUA
rnacentral:rRNA from 1 species